rnacentral:rRNA from 1 species
CCUACGGAGGGCAGCAGUAGGGAAUCUUCCACAAUGGACGAAAGUCUGAUGGAGCAACGCCGCGUGAGUGAAGAAGGGUUUCGGCUCAUAAAGCUCUGUUGGUAGUGAAGAAAGAUAGAGGUAGUAACUGGCCUUUAUUUGACGGUCAUUCCUUAGAAAGUCACGGCUAACUACGUGCCAGCAGCCGCGGUAAUACGUAGGUGGCAAGCGUUGUCCGGAUUUAUGGGGCGUAAGGCUAGUUCCGGCGGUUCAAUACGUCUUAUGUGAAAGCCUUCGGCUCAACCGGAGAAUUGGAUCAGAAAGUGUUGAACUUGAGUGCAGAAGAGGAGAGUGGAACUCCAUGUGUAGCGGUGGAAUGCGUAGAUAUAUGGAAGAACACCAGUGGCGAAGGCGGCUCUCUGGUCUGCAACUGACGCUGAGGCUCGAAAGCAUGGGUAGCGAACAGGAUUAGAUACCCUUGUAGUC